rnacentral:lncRNA from 1 species
CUCGUUUCAUCCCACAGUUUCGUCCCCGUCAUUUUGUUCUGACCACCUAUGGAUGAAAUCCCUAACCGGCGGGUCACUAGCUUAAAUGCCAACAUUUUCGAUUAAUUUCUACCCAACCCUGCCAAAGCAAUAUAUUUUUCUAUUUGCUUAAUCCAUUUCUAAACUUUGUAGCAUCCCCCAAAAAAUCAGUAUAAUUUAAUAAACC